rnacentral:rRNA from 1 species
GAUGAACGCUGGCGGCGUGCCUAAUACAUGCAAGUCGAGCGGACAGACGCUGAGCUUGCUCCUCGCACGAUAGCGGCGCACGGGUGAGUAACACGUGGAUAACCUACCUAUAAGACUGGGAUAACUACGGGAAACCGGCGAUAAUACCGGAGAAUAUAUUGAACCGCAUGGUGCAAUAGUGAAAGACGGCUUUUCUGUCACGUAUAGAUGGAUCCGCGCCGCAUUAGCUGGUUGGUAAGGUAACAGCUUACUAAGGCAACGAUGCGUAGCCGACCCUAUGGGGUGUUGGCCCACUCAGGGACUGAGCGACGGUCCAGGCUCCUACGGGCGGCAGCAGCAGGGAAUCUUCGGAGAAGGGGGAAAGCUUGACGGAUGAGCGGCGCCCGGGUGAAGAAGGGCUUCGGACGGUAAAACUCUGUUCUGGGUGAAAAACAAUUUUGUCUGUAACUAUGCAUGUGUGACGGGAACCGAUUAAGAAAGCCCCGGUAACUUACUG